rnacentral:lncRNA from 1 species
CCCCCAGCAGCCAGGAAGCAGAGAGAAGAAAGGAGCAGGAGACAAGAUCGAGCCUUCUUUCCCAAUCACCCCCAGGGGCCACCUCCGAGUCAGCAAGGUGCUCACCCAUGGCCGGAUCCCCAUGAGUGCAGCACCCCACAGUCCAGUCACCCUCCACACACCUGAGGACAGAUCCAACCAGAAGAACUCUCCGUGGGUAUGAGAAGCAUUGCAGCAUGUCCAUGCUAAGCCCUCAAGUCACCAGCCUUUCAUGUUUGGACCACAGCUGAGGGCUGGAAUUACGAAAGUAUCAGCAGGCGGCAGAAGCACAUGAAGUGGGGGAUCCAGAGUCCCC